rnacentral:rRNA from 1 species
ACGAACGCUGGCGGCGUGCCUAAUACAUGCAAGUCGAACGAAACUUUCUUACACCGAAUGCUUGCAUUCACCGUAAGAAGUUGAGUGGCGGACGGGUGAGUAACACGUGGGUAACCUGCCUAAAAGAAGGGGAUAACACUUGGAAACAGGUGCUAAUACCGUAUAUCUCUAAGGAUCGCAUGAUCCUUAGAUGAAAGAUGGUUCUGCUAUCGCUUUUAGAUGGACCCGCGGCGUAUUAACUAGUUGGUGGGGUAACGGCCUACCAAGGUGAUGAUACGUAGCCGAACUGAGAGGUUGAUCGGCCACAUUGGGACUGAGACACGGCCCAAACUCCUACGGGAGGCAGCAGUAGGGAAUCUUCCACAAUGGACGCAAGUCUGAUGGAGCAACGCCGCGUGAGUGAAGAAGGUCUUCGGAUCGUAAAACUCUGUUGUUAGAGAAGAACACGAGUGAGAGUAACUGUUCAUUCGAUGACGGUAUCUAACCAGCAAGUCACGGCUAACUACGUGCCAGCAGCCGCGGUAAUACGUAGGUGGCAAGCGUUGUCCGGAUUUAUUGGGCGUAAAGGGAACGCAGGCGGUCUUUUAAGUCUGAUGUGAAAGCCUUCGGCUUAACCGGAGUAGUGCAUUGGAAACUGGAAGACUUGAGUGCAGAAGAGGAGAGUGGAACUCCAUGUGUAGCGGUGAAAUGCGUAGAUAUAUGGAAGAAAACCAGUGGCGAAAGCGGCUCUCUGGUCUGUAACUGACGCUGAGGUUCGAAAGCGUGGGUAGCAAACAGGAUUAGAUACCCUGGUAGUCCACGCCGUAAACGAUGAAUGCUAGGUGUUGGAGGGUUUCCGCCCUUCAGUGCCGCAGCUAACGCAAUAAGCAUUCCGCCUGGGGAGUACGACCGCAAGGUUGAAACUCAAAGGAAUUGACGGGGGCCCGCACAAGCGGUGGAGCAUGUGGUUUAAUUCGAAGCAACGCGAAGAACCUUACCAGGUCUUGACAUCCUUUGACCACUCUAGAGAUAGAGCUUCCCCUUCGGGGGCAAAGUGACAGGUGGUGCAUGGUUGUCGUCAGCUCGUGUCGUGAGAUGUUGGGUUAAGUCCCGCAACGAGCGCAACCCUUGUUGUCAGUUGCCAGCAUUAAGUUGGGCACUCUGGCGAGACUGCCGGUGACAAACCGGAGGAAGGUGGGGACGACGUCAAAUCAUCAUGCCCCUUAUGACCUGGGCUACACACGUGCUACAAUGGACGGUACAACGAGUCGCGAGACCGCGAGGUUUAGCUAAUCUCUUAAAGCCGUUCUCAGUUCGGAUUGUAGGCUGCAACUCGCCUACAUGAAGUCGGAAUCGCUAGUAAUCGCGAAUCAGCAUGUCGCGGUGAAUACGUUCCCGGGCCUUGUACACACCGCCCGUCACACCAUGAGAGUUUGUAACACCCAAAGCCGGUGGGGUAACCGCAAGGAGCCAGCCGUCUAAGGUGGGACAGAUGAUUGGGGUG